GUGGGGAAUAUUGGGCAAUGGGGCAACCCUGACCCAGCGACGCUGCGUGAGGGAAGAAGGCCUUAGGGUCGUAAACCUCUGUUGUGUGGGAAGAAGGAAGUGACGGUACCACACGAGGAAGUCCCGGCUAACUACGUGCCAGCAGCCGCGGUAAUACGUAGGGGACGAGCGUUGUCCGGAAUUACUGGGCGUAAAGGGCGCGUAGGCGGUCAUUUAAGUCAGCUGUGAAAUGGUCCGGCUCAACCGGAUCAUGCGGUUGAAACUGGAUGACUGGAGUGCUGGAGAGGCAAGUGGAAUUCCCAGUGUAGCGGUGAAAUGCGUAGAUAUUGGGAAGAACACCGGUGGCGAAGGCGACUUGCUGGCCAGCAACUGACGCUGAGGCGCGAAAGCCAGGGGAGCAAACGGGAUUAGAAACCCUUGUAGUCC
rnacentral:rRNA from 1 species